rnacentral:lncRNA from 1 species
UUUUUUUUUUGUGUUGACGUCCGAAAUACUGCACUGUAGACUUACAGUUAGGAGUUUUUGCUUGUGAGAGAAACAUGUUUAACCCCGCCACAUUAUUUAUGUAUGUGCCUGUCCCAAGUCAGGAGCCUGUAAUUCAGUGGUUGUCGUUUGUUUAUGUGUUACAUAUUUUUCGUUCAUUUUUUUACAUAAAUAAGGCCGUUAGUUUUCUCGUUUGAAUUGUUUUACAUUGUCUUAUCGGGGCCUAUUAUAGCUGACUGUGCGGUGUGGGCUUUGCUCAUUGUUGAAGGCCGUACGGUGACCUAUAGUUGUUGAUGUCUGUGUCAUUUUGGUCUUUUGUAGAUAGUUGUCUCAUUGGCAAUCAUACCACAUCUUCUUUUUUAUAUUA